GGGAGCUUAUUCACGAAGCAUCCGUUAACUAACGGACCCGUUAACUUAACGGAGACGUUAACGGGUACGUCCGUUAAAAUUUAACGUGGUAUUCACAAACGUUUGCGUUAACAUUGUGAUAACGGGUGCGCUAUUAACGGAUGUGUUAGUAUGCAAAUUAAACGUAAUUGAAGUGUCGGAUGUUUUCAUUAGUUUAUAAACCAAAUGGGCAAUACAGUAAAAAAUUAUACUGUUUUCAUUUUUAUUAUAAUAAUGUAAACGGACGAUGUUUAUAUUUUUCACACAGUUAUGUUGAUAAAAUUUGCUGCAAAUAAACAAUUUAUUUACACUGUGUCUUGGUGUUGUUUUUUUGUUCAUUAAUCCGUAUCAUUUAUAGUAUAUUUUUAUUAUUU
rnacentral:lncRNA from 1 species